rnacentral:rRNA from 1 species
ACAUGGGGSGCAAGCCUGAUCUAGCCAUGCCGCGUGAGUGAUGAAGGCCUGAGGGUCGUAAAGCUCUGUUCGCGCAGAGAUGAUAAUGACAGUAUCUGGUAAAGAAACCCCGGGCUAACUCCGUGCCAGCAGCCGCGGUAAUACGGAGGGGGUUAGCGUUGUUCGGAAUUACUGGGCGUAAAGCGCACGUAGCGCGGAUCAUAAAGUUGGGGGUGAAAUCCCAGGGCUCAACCCUGGAACGGCCUCCAAAAC